rnacentral:rRNA from 1 species
GUUGGCCUCGGAUCAGGUGGGGAUACCCGCUGAACUUAAGCAUAUCAAUAAGCGGAGGAAAAGAAACCAACAGGGAUUGCCUCAGUAACGGCGAGUGAAGCGGCAACAGCUCAAAUUUGAAAUCUGGCGCAAGCCCGAGUUGUAAUUUGUAGAGGAUGUUUCGGGUGAAGCCACGGUCCAAGUCCCUUGGAACAGGACGUCAUAGAGGGUGAGAACCCCGUACCUGGCCGUCGGUGCCCCCCGCUGUGAAACUCCUUCGACGAGUCGAGUUGUUUGGGAAUGCAGCUCUAAAUUGGUGGUAAAUUCCAUCUAAAGCUAAAUACCGGCCAGAGACCGAUAGCGCACAAGUAGAGUGAUCGAAAGAUGAAAAGCACUUUGAAAAGAGAGUUAAAAAGUACGUGAAAUUGUUGAAAGGGAAGCGCUUGCGGCCAGACUUGCCCGCGGUUGCUCAGCCCGCCUUUUGGCGGGUGCACUCUUCCGCGGUCAGGCCAGCAUCGGUUUGGGCGGUCGGAUAAAGGCGUUGGGAACGUGGCCUCCCCUCGGGGAGGUGUUAUAGCCCGGCGCGCAAUGCGACCAGCCCGGACCGAGGUUCGCGCUUUGCUAGGAUGCUGGCGUAAUGGCCGUAAGCGGCCCGUCUUGAAACACGGACCAAGGAGUCUAACAUCUAUGCGAGUGUUUGGGUGUCAAACCCGUGCGCGUAAUGAAAGUGAACGGAGGUGGGAACCGCAAGGUGCACCAUCGACCGAUCCUGAUGUCUUCGGAAGGAUUUGAGUAAGAGCAUAGCUGUUGGGACCCGAAAGAUGGUGAACUAUGCGUGAAUAGGGUGAAGCCAGAGGAAACUCUGGUGGAGGCUCGCAGCGGUUCUGACGUGCAAAUCGAUCGUCAAAUUUGCGUAUAGGGGCGAAAGACUAAUCGAAC